rnacentral:lncRNA from 13 species
GCUCUUGUUCCCGAGAGUCAGAUGUCCCCCGACGCUGACGUGGAGAGAGAGAGGGACAGUGUCCCCUGUCUGCUACCCCCUCGCCCCUCUGGACCCUUACAGGUGGCUGAUAACCACUGGGAAGUAACUAGCUAGUUAUCUGAGUUAGCAGGAAAUCAUUGCUGGUGUGGAGUAUUGAAUGCCAUGUAAAGCUUGGCACAGUGUACUACUUACUGUAAGUGAACAAAGACUGCAGAACACCAGUUAGUACAUACCAUUGGUGGCUUGUGUGAUAUUUUAACUGAGUAUGGUCUUAUAAUGAAAUGCACACAUACACACACUGUUUGUUAUCCCAGAUGGUGACUCCAGCCAAGAGGAGGGUGUCUGAGUCCAGCACGUUCAUCACCAGCAGCGGAGGAGGGAGGGGGACAGGAGCCAGCCCCUUUAGCGUUGUUAUGGCAGCAUCCACUCCCAGAGGCAGCAGGCCCAAAGUGAAGCCGGCUAUAGAGCUGGUCAGGUCGUGUGAGAGGCAAGGCCAGUCGGGCCUGGGGGAGCUGAGGACGGCCAAACCCUACUACAAUGCCGCCCCUGGCAUUACACUGAGCCACAGCAGGAGGGAGCAGAUGGAUGCGGUGGUUGCUCUAUCACAGAGCAAAGCUACCAAGCAGGACACCAAAGCUGGACCUGUGGCAGAGAAAUACCGCAGGCACAUCCCAGUGGACAAAGUGGUGGAGAUGGUCCAAACUGACCAGGCAGAGGAAGAGGAGCUUCUUGACAGCAGCAUUGUCCCUGACUCCCAGCCUACCAUGAAAACAGAGAGUACUAUGUAAGUACAUGGUCUCUGUCAUUCAAAUUACAAUUGAUUUAAAAUCUGAUUUUGAAUCAGACAUGUUUACUCAUAGAGGAGCUUUGAGACCGUGUGUGCGUGCGUGCAUCUCUGUGUGUGUUCGAACAGAUUCUCCCACUGGA